CCGUAAGGAGGGAGCUGCCGAAGGCGGGACCGAUAACUGGGGUGAAGUCGUAACAAGGUAGCCGUAUCGGAAGGUGCGGCUGGAUCACCUCCUUU
rnacentral:ncRNA from 1 species